CAAUAUUUGCAGAUAAAGAGAGAAAUAGCCAUCUUGAAGCUGCUCAAACACCCCAACGCGGUUCGCCUGCAUGAGGCCUUGGCAAGCAAAAUAAAGAUAUACAUGGUCCUAGAAUACGCAACUGGAGGAGAUUUGUAUGGCAAAAUUUCAUCCAAAGGGAAGCUUUCUGAAGCUGAAGGAAUGAAGCUCCUCUAGUGUUGAUCGAUGGCGUUAGUUACUGUCACGACAAAGGUGUUUUCCACAGAGAUCUUAUG